UGGGAUAGCUUAGUCCGUAGAGCAUGAGAUUCUUUAUCUCAGGGUUCAUGGGUUCGAACCUCACACAGGGCAAAA